UACGUAGGGCGCAAGCGUUGUCCGGAAUUAUUGGGCGUAAAGAGCUCGUAGGCGGUUUGUCGCGUCUGCUGUGAAAACUCGAGGCUCAACCUCGGGCUUGCAGUGGGUACGGGCAGACUAGAGUGCGGUAGGGGAGACUGGAAUUCCUGGUGUAGCGGUGGAAUGCGCAGAUAUCAGGAGGAACACCGGUGGCGAAGGCGGGUCUCUGGGCAACAACUGACGCUGAGGAGCGAAAGCGUGGGGAGCAAACAGG
rnacentral:rRNA from 1 species